rnacentral:rRNA from 1 species
GACGAACGCUGGCGGCGUGCUUAACACAUGCAAGUCGAACGCAAAGGCCCUGCUUUUGUGGGGUGCUCGAGUGGCGAACGGGUGAGUAACACGUGAGUAACCUGCCCCUGACUUUGGGAUAACUUCAGGAAACUGGGGCUAAUACCGGAUAGGAGCUCCUCCUGCAUGGUGGGUGGUGGAAAGUAUGGGCGGUUGGGGAUGGACUCGCGGCGUAUCAGCUUGUUGUUGGGGUGGUGGCUUACUAAGGCUUUGACGGGUAGUCGGCCUGAGAGGGUGACCGGCCACAUUGGGAAUGAUAUACGGCGCAGAAGCAUAGGGGAGGAAGCAGUGGGGAAUAUUGGACAAUGGGCGCAAGGCUGAUGCAGCAACGCCGCGUGCGGGAUGACGGCCUUCGGGUUGUAAUGCGCUUUCGCCUACAACGAAGGGGGAGUGACGGUAAGGGAUAAAGACGCAGCGUCUAACCACG